GUCUACGGCCAUAUACGUUGAAAACACCGGUUCUCGUACGAUCACCGAAGUUAAGUAACGUCGAGCCCGGUUAGUACUUGAAUGGGUGACCGCCUGGGAAUACCGGGUGCUGUAGGCU
rfam:Helobdella robusta unplaced genomic scaffold HELROscaffold_93, whole genome shotgun sequence.